GUUUAUUGUUCUUGCGAAAAUAUAGGAAAUUUGGUUAAGAAUUUUCCAAAAUACAUAAUUUUACACACAUGAUCGUGUGUGCAAAAUUUAUCUUCUAUACGACCAUACUUGGAAUUUUAUUUGUACAUACGGAGUCUAGAAAAAAGAGUAAAUAUUAUGGGAUACCCUGCUUAGAUGCAACUAUUUGUGCUCACUCUAAGAAACGAGUUUGUGGGAUAAUCCAUAAAACUGGAGAAGUUCGAUGGUUCUUAGACAAAUGUGAUAUAUCAGAAUUUAAUUGCGAAUAUCGCACUAAAUUUAAAAAAACUAAAAAGAGGGACUGCAGACAUGUACCGCUGUUAUAAAAAUUCUUCUCAUACGUAAACCAAUGU